GAGGCAUUCAGGGGAUGAGGGGUUGG
rnacentral:sRNA from 1 species